GAGUUUGAUCAUGGCUCAGGACGAACGCUGGCGGCGUGCUUAACACAUGCAAGUCGAACGGUAAGGCCCCUUUUUUGGGGUGUACGAGUGGCGAACGGGUGAGUAACACGUGAGUAACCUGCCCCAGACUUUGGGAUAACAGUUGGAAACGAUUGCUAAUACUGGAUAUGAGCUGCUGCCGCAUGGUGGUGGUUUGAAAGUUCCGGCGGUUUGGGAUGGGCCCGCGGCCUAUCAGCUUGUUGGUGAGGUGAUGGCUUACCAAGGCUUCGACGGGUAGCCGGCCUGAGAGGGCGACCGGCCACAUUGGGACUGAGAUACGGCCCAAACUCCUACGGGAGGCAGCAGUGGGGAAUAUUGCACAAUGGACGGAAGUCUGAUGCAGCAACGCCGCGUGCGGGAUGACGGCCUUCGGGUUGUAAACCGCUUUCAUCCAUGACGAAGCUUUUGUGACGGUAGUGGGUAAAGAAGCACCGGCUAACUACGUGCCAGCAGCCGCGGUGAUACGUAGGGUGCGAGCGUUGUCCGGAUUUAUUGGGCGUAAAGAGCUUGUAGGCGGUUUGUCGCGUCGGGAGUGAAAACUCGGAGCUUAACUUUGAGCUUGCUUUCGAUACGGGCUGACUUGAGGGAGGUAGGGGAGAAUGGAAUUCCUGGUGGAGCGGUGGAAUGCGCAGAUAUCAGGAGGAACACCGGUGGCGAAGGCGGUUCUCUGGACCUUUCCUGACGCUGAGAAGCGAAAGCGUGGGGAGCGAACAGGCUUAGAUACCCUGGUAGUCCACGCCGUAAACGGUGGGUACUAGGUGUGGGGGACAUUCCACGUUCUCCGUGCCGUAGCUAACGCAUUAAGUACCCGGCGUGGGGAGUACGGCCGCAAGGCUAAAACUCAAAGGAAUUGAGGGGGCCCCGCACAAGCGCCGCACCAUGCGGAUAAAUUGGAUGAAACGCGAAGAACCUUACAUGGGUUGGGGGUUUCUCCCCCCCCCCCCCGAUGGGCGUGCUUUUUUGGUGGGAAAAAAAAAGGUGCAUGGCUGUCGUCAGCUCGUGCCGUGAGAUGUUGGGUUAAGUCCCGCAACGAGCGCAACCUUCGUCCAAUGUUGCCAGCGGGUUAUGCCGGGGACUCAUUGGAGACCGCCGGGGUCAACUCGGAGGAAGGUGGGGAUGACGUCCCCUCAUCAUGCCCCUUAUGUCCAGGGCUUCACCCCCCCUACAAUGGCCGGUACAAAGAGCUGCGAGCCUGUGAGGGUGAGCGAAUCUCGGAAAGCCGGUCUCAGUUCGGAUUGGGGUCUGCAACUCGACCCCAUGAAGUCGGAGUCGAGAGUAAUCGCAGAUCAGCAACGCUGCGGUGAAUAGCUCCAGGGGCUUGCACACACCGCCCGUC
rnacentral:rRNA from 1 species